GACGAACGCUGGCGGCGUGCUUAACACAUGCAAGUCGAACGGAAAAGCCCUGCUUUUGUGGGGUGCUCGAGUGGCGAACGGGUGAGUAACACGUGAGUAACCUGCCCUUGACUUUGGGAUAACUUCAGGAAACUGGGGCUAAUACCGGAUAGGAGCUCCUGCUGCAUGGUGGGGGUUGGAAAGUUUCGGCGGUUGGGGAUGGACUCGCGGCUUAUCAGCUUGUUGGUGGGGUAGUGGCUUACCAAGGCUUUGACGGGUAGCCGGCCUGAGAGGGUGACCGGCCACAUUGGGACUGAGAUACGGCCCAAACUCCUACGGGAGGCAGCAGUGGGGAAUAUUGCACAAUGGGCGGAAGCCUGAUGCAGCAACGCCGCGUGCGGGAUGACGGCCUUCGGGUUGUAAACCGCUUUCGCCUGUGACGAAGCGUGAGUGACGGUAAUGGGUAAAGAAGCACCGGCUAACUACGUG
rnacentral:rRNA from 1 species